rnacentral:rRNA from 2 species
CCUGAAAGAUUUAACAUUGAGACGAGUGGCGAACUGGUGAGUAACACGUGGGUAACCUGCCCUUGAAGUAGGGGAUAACACUUGGAAACAGGUGCUAAUACCGUAUAACAACCAAAACCACCUGGUUUUGGUUUAAAAGACGGCUUCGGCUGUCACUUUAGGAUGGACCCGCGGCGUAUUAGCUUGUUGGUAAGGUAACGGCUUACCAAGGCGAUGAUACGUAGCCGACCUGAGAGGGUAAUCGGCCACAUUGGGACUGAGACACGGCCCAAACUCCUACGGGAGGCAGCAGUAGGGAAUCUUCCACAAUGGACGAAAGUCUGAUGGAGCAACGCCGCGUGAGUGAUGAAGGGUUUCGGCUCGUAAAACUCUGUUGUUGGAGAAGAACAGGUGUCAGAGUAACUGUUGACAUCUUGACGGUAUCCAACCAGAAAGCCACGGCUAACUACGUGCCAGCAGCCGCGGUAAUACGUAGGUGGCAAGCGUUGUCCGGAUUUAUUGGGCGUAAAGCGAGCGCAGGCGGUUUUUUAGGUCUGAUGUGAAAGCCUUCGGCUUAACCGGAGAAGUGCAUCGGAAACCGGGAGGCUUGAGUGCAGAAGAGGACAGUGGAACUCCAUGUGUAGCGGUGAAAUGCGUAGAUAUAUGGAAGAACACCAGUGGCGAAAGCGGCUGUCUGGUCUGUAACUGACGCUGAGGCUCGAAAGCAUGGGUAGCGAACAGGAUUAGAUACCCUGGUAGUCCAUGCCGUA